rnacentral:rRNA from 1 species
GGAGUUAGCCGGUGCUUCUUCUGUGAGUGAUGUCCUUCCUGCCGGCUAUUAACCCGCAGGCCUUCUUCCUCACUGAAAGUGCUUUACAACCCGAAGGCCUUCUUCACACACGCGGCAUGGCUGGAUCAGGGUUGCCCCCAUUGUCCAAUAUUCCCCACUGCUGCCUCCCGUAGGAGUCUGGGCCGUGUCUCAGUCCCAGUGUGGCUGAUCAUCCUCUCAGACCAGCUACGGAUCGUCGCCUUGGUGAGCCGUUACCUCACCAACCAGCUAAUCCGACAUAGGCUCAUCCGAUAGCGCGAGGCCCGAAGGUCCCCCGCUUUCCCCCGUAGGGCGUAUGCGGUAUUAGCCUGGGUUUCCCCAGGUUAUCCCCCACUACCGGGCAGAUUCCUAUGCAUUACUCACCCGUCCGCCGCUCGCCACCAGGGAGCAAGCUCCCCGUGCUGCCGCUCGACUUGCAUGUGUUAGGCCUGCCGCCAGCGUUCAAUCUGAGCCAGGAAUCGAAACCCUCGACGUACGUAGCGGGCGGUCGUCGGACGACGGCGACUAAG